UGGGGAAUCUUGGACAAUGGGCGCAAGCCUGAUCCAGCCAUGCCGCGUGGAUGAUGAAGGCCUUAGGGUUGUAAAAUCCUUUCGUUGGGGACGAUAAUGACGGUACCCAAAGAAGAAGCUCCGGCUAACUUCGUGCCAGCAGCCGCGGUAAUACGAAGGGGGCUAGCGUUGUUCGGAUUUACUGGGCGUAAAGCGCGUGUAGGUGGAUACGUAAGUAAAUUGUGGAAGACCCGGGCUUAACCUGGGAAGGUCAAUUUAAACGGCGUGUCUGGAGUGGAGUAGAGGGAAGUAGAAUUUCCGGUGUAGCGGUGAAAUGCGUAGAUAUCGGAAGGAAUACCGGUGGCGAAGGCGUCUUCCUGGACUCUAACUGACACUGAGGCGCGAAAGCAUGGGGAUCAAACAGGAUUAGAUACCCCCGUAGUCCCUGAGCGGGCUGGCAAGGCGCAU
rnacentral:rRNA from 1 species